GCUGAAGUUAAAAAACCAACAAUUCAAAUGAAUUGGUCUAAGAAAGCAGUUAUAAAAACUCCAAUUUUCUGAAAAACAAUGCGGUUCAAAAGAUUUCUGCAAAUAACUAAAUGUUUGCAUUUUGCAGAUAACAAUUUGGCUAACAAUACAGAUAAAUUAUGUAAAAUAAAACCUGUGAUAAACUUUUUGAAUCAAAGAUUUAAAGAAGUAUAUACAAUGCAAGAGAACAUUACUAUCAAUGAAUCAUUGAUGAAAUAUAAGGGACGCUUAUCCUAUAAACAAUUUAAUCCAUCAGAAGGGUGCACUGGAACAGAAAUAAUAUGCCAAAAGAUUUUUAUAAAGUAAAAUUAAAAAUGGGUGAAUAUAUAAUGAGAAGCUGCAAUGGAAUAAUGGCAUUAAAAUGGAAGGAUAUACGAGACAUUUAUAUUCUUUCUUCAAAACACAAAAUAGCAGAAUGAUAGGAAUUGACCGGCAAGACCGAAUGCUAGCAUGCUUCCCUGUG
rnacentral:misc_RNA from 1 species